rnacentral:lncRNA from 1 species
UGGGUCCGACUAUCGUGACUUUCGAUUGAGCUUUGGGAGGAGAUGGCAGUCCGGAGCAUUAUCCAUUGGGUUGCUGAGCUAUCGUUGGUGGAUAAUUUUGUGAUAGAAUGGAGAAGGCUGGGUUUCGCAUGGGCAUUGUUGGGGGCAAAUUUGUCAUCCAGGCCAAAAACAUAGAUUAAUGAAAAGGCAAGUGUGAUAUGCAAUGCUGAUGUCACGGUGCCACCAG